rnacentral:lncRNA from 1 species
CACAAUUUUGAAUCUUAAUUCUGUAUGGUAUUGUUAGGCCCUACAAAGCCAACCAACUUGACUUCUAGGUAUGUGUCCCUAUUAUCAGUCACUUUUUCAUUUACUGAUACAACAUUAAUUGAGCAAAUAUUUACAAUCUGAGAAUGUAACCAAACUCAACUUGAAACAGAAGGGUAAAAGAGGCAAAGCUUAUUUAUUAUAUGCUUCUCCCUUUGAUCUUCUCUCCCUUUCUCUGAAAAAUGUAUCUUGCCUGGCUACACUGCCAUUGUGUUACUUCAGUUAGUGUAU